AGUAGUUCUAAACGCGUUAAUUGUCCUGAAGGCAUUUAAUCGGCGGUGACGGAUUUCAGCUCCAGCUCCGGGUUCCGGUUGCGGUGAAGCGGCUCCCGGACGUGCCGCAUAUCGGACUCCGUUCCCCGAUCAGACUGAAGGGUCGCUGGAGAGCCUGGAGCCUAUCACAGGGAACGCCGCCGGGCACGAGGCGGGGACACACCGGACAGAGAAAUCGUCAACCCAUCGCAGGGCACAAUGAUAUACUAUGGACAAUUUGGAAACGUCUUUGGACAUGAGGAAGGAAACUGGAGUACACAGAGGAAACCCCUGAAGCACGGGGAGAACAUGGAAAGUUCGGACACACACAGGGUGGAGGUGGGAUUGGGGGCAACCUUGGAGGUGCGAGGCAAGCAUGCUAACCACUAAGCCACCAUAUAGCAGUAACGUAAAUAGAUUUCUUUGACCCAAAUGGAGCAUCUGUGAUGCAUACUACAUUGACAUUAGGCCACAGUGGUGUAACAAAGUAGAAUUAAAUAUAUUCUAGGAAAUAUUCCUAA